GAUGAAGAACGCAGCGAAAUGCGAUAAGUAAUGCGAAUUGCAGAAUUUCCGUGAGUCAUCGAAUCUUUGAACGCACAUUGCGCCCACUGGUAUUCCGGUGGGCAUGCCUGUUCGAGCGUCAUUAUCCUCCCUCAAACCUCGGGUUUGGUGUUGGACCCAAGUUGUGUGAACAACUGGUCUCAAAGACAAUGACGGCGUCCGUGGGACCCUCGGUGCAACGAGCUUUUAGGAGCACGCGUCGAGUUUCAAGGACCUUCCGGGCCGGUCUCCUUUACUAUUUUUACAAGGUUGACCUCGGAUCAGGUAGGAAUACCCGCUGAACUUAAGCAUAUCAAUAAGCGGAGGA
rnacentral:misc_RNA from 1 species